rnacentral:rRNA from 1 species
GACGAACGCUGGCGGCGUGCUUAACACAUGCAAGUCGAACGGAAAGGCCCUGCUUUGGUUGGGUGCUCGAGUGGCGAACGGGUGAGUAACACGUGAGUAACCUGCCCUUUACUUUGGGAUAACUUCAGGAAACUGGGGCUAAUACCGGAUAGGAGCUCCUGCUGCAUGGUGGGGGUUGGAAAGGUUCGGCGGUUGGGGAUGGACUCGCGGCUUAUCAGCUUGUUGGUGGGGUAGUGGCUUACCAAGGCUUUGACGGGUAGCCGGCCUGAGAGGGUGACCGGCCACAUUGGGACUGAGAUACGGCCCAGACUCCUACGGGAGGAAGCAGUGGGGAAUAUUGCACAAUGGGCGGAAGCCUGAUGCAGCACCGCCGCGUGCGGGAUGACGGCCUUCGGGUUGUAAACCGCUUUCGCCUGUGACGAAGCGUGAGUGUCGGUAAUGGGUAAAGAAGCACCGGCUAACUACGUG